AGGAUUAACGCUGGCGGCGUGCAUGAAACAUGCAAGUCGAGCGCGGUGUGAUGCGGGGUAACCCAAUUCACAUCUAGCGGCGAACGGGUGAGUAACACGUGAGCAACCUACCUUUGAGUUGGGGAUAGCCCUGGGAAACCAGGAUUAAUACCCGAUGUGGUCACAACAGGACAUCCUGAUGUGAGUAAAGGCGCAAGCCGCUCAAUGACGGGCUCGCGGCCUAUUAGCUUGUUGGUGGGGUAACGGCCUACCAAGGCGAUGAUGGGUAGCUGGUCUGAGAGGACGAUCAGCCACACUGGACUGAGACACGGCCCAGACUCCUACGGGAGGCAGCAGUUAGGAAUUUUCCGCAAUGGGCGAAAGCCUGACGGAGCAACGCCGCGUGAGUGAUGAAGACCUUAGGGUUGUAAAGCUCGUGUCGGAGGGGAAGAACACAAGUGACGGUACCUCCAAGAAACGCCCGGACUAACUACGUGCCAGCAGCCGCGGUAAUCUGA
rnacentral:rRNA from 1 species